AGAGUUUGAUCCUGGCUCAGGACGAACGCUGGCGGCGUGCUUAACACAUGCAAGUCGAACGGUAAGGCCCUUCGGGGUACACGAGUGGCGAACGGGUGAGUAACACGUGGGUGAUCUGCCCUGCACUUCGGGAUAAGCUUGGGAAACUGGGUCUAAUACCGGAUAGGACCACGGUCUGCAUGGAUUGUGGUGGAAAGCUUUUGCGGUGUGGGAUGGGCCCGCGGCCUAUCAGCUUGUUGGUGAGGUAAUGGCUCACCAAGGCGACGACGGGUAGCCGGCCUGAGAGGGCGACCGGCCACACUGGGACUGAGACACGGCCCAGACUCCUACGGGAGGCAGCAGUGGGAAUAUUGCACAAUGGGCGAAAGCCUGAUGCAGCGACGCCGCGUGAGGGAUGACGGCCUCGGUUGGUAA
rnacentral:rRNA from 1 species